AAUUAUACUAUUUAGAAAUUCGAACUCUAAACCCUAAUCCAUCAUUCCUAAAUCCUAUAUGGUUUUUGAAAUACGAACCCUAAACCCUAAAACCUCAACUCUAUACCCUAAACCCUAAAAAGUAAACUCUAAACCCUAAAACUCAACUCUAAACCCUAAACCAUCAAUCCUAAACUCUAUAUGUUUUUUGAAAUACGAACGCUAAACCCUAAAACCUCAACUCUAAACCCUAAAUCCUAAAAAGUAAACUCUAAACCCUUAAAUCUAAACCCUAAACCUUCAACUCUAAACUCUAAAACAUCAACUUUAAACGCUAAACUUCAACUCUUAUCCCUAAACAAUCAAAACUUAUCUCUAAACUAUCAACACUUAACCCUAAAUCCUAAAGAAGAAACUCUUACCCCUAAAACAUCAACUCUAAACCCUAAACCUUCAAAUCUAAACCCUAAACCAUAAACCUUCAACUCUAAACCCUAAAACAUCAACUUUAAACACUAAACCGUAAACUUGAACUCUAAACCCUAAACUAUCAACACUAAACCCUAAACUAUCAACACUUAACCCC
rnacentral:lncRNA from 1 species